CUGGCAGGGAAGAAACACAGAGCUACUACAAUAGUGGACUUUAAACGACUGGAUUACAGGAAAGGAAGCAUGUUGUGAAAUUGGACCACUUGGAGUGUGGUGGGAUUUCCCCUGUGAAAACCUGUUUCCAUUUAUAUGCUACAAUGAGUGUUGGGGUCAGAGCAAGGGUCAGCCACGAUGCAGUGCCCCUUGGAGGGGGUUGGUGGCAGCUUGGCAGUGGCUUCAACCCUGAUUUUCCAAUCAAUAACCAAGAGCCUUAACCAGAACGAUAGUGGCAGUGAUGUGCAUCCAAUACAACAGUGAAUUUUCUUUAACAUCUUUUUUUAAGCAUGUGCAAGAUGCUUUGUUUAGCAUUUUAAUGAAUUUACAUUAAGAUUUGCAUAAUUCCUACUCUGUGUGGCUCAAGGUCAGGUACUAACGUCAUUAUUCUGGAUAUUUGUCAUUUUCAUUUAUCACUUUCUUUUUCUAGUUGGUAGUUCUACUACAGGUAAAUACAGCUUGAUUGCAAAUGUCAUUAUAGACAUUGUGAACAUUAUACACUACAGCAUUGCAUUUAUUCCUAACCAUUCAGUAAACAGAAUAAUCUGAAUUUGUGUGAAUCAG